UUGUGGUUAAAAAGCUCGUAGUUGGAUCUCGGCGGACUGAGGGCGGUUUGCUUGCUAGUAUUACUGCCCUAUAGUCCGUAGUUUUGCCAGAGGUUUCGGGGUGCUCUUAAUCGAGUGUCCCGGGAUGCUGGCAGGUUUACUUUGAAAAAAUUAGAGUGCUCAAAGCAGGCUAUUACGCCUGAAUAUUCGUGCAUGGAAUAAUAGAAUAGGAAGUCGUUUCUAUUUUGUUGGUUUUCGGAAAUCGACUUAAUGAUUAAUAGGGACAGUCGGGGGCAUUUGUAUUCAAACGACAGAGGUGAAAUUCUUGGACCGUUUGAAGACAAACUACUGCGAAAGCAUUUGCCAAGAAUGUUUUCAUUAAUCAAGAACGAAAGUUAAAGGUUCGAAGGCGAUUAGAUACCGCCCUAGUUUUAACCAUAAACGAUGCCAGCUAGCGAUCUGCGGACGUUUUUUUUGUAGACUCCGCAGGAAGCUUCCGGGAAACCAAAGCAUUUGGGUUCCAGGGGAAGUAUGGUUGCAAAGCUGAAACUUAAAGGAAUUGACGGAAGGGCACCACCAGGAGUGGAGCCUGUGGCUUAAUUUGACUCAACACGGGAAAUCUCACCAGGCCCGGACACUGGAAGGAUUGACAGAUUGAUAGCUCUUUCU
rnacentral:rRNA from 1 species